UUGCUUCAAAUAAUAAAUAUUUCAUCAAUUUGUGAUUUAAUAUGACAGGAUUACUAAUAUAGCAGGUAAAUGUGAUGAAAAGAAAACUGCUUAGGUAUGCAUGGCUCAGCUGUUUCUCUCUGACAUCAAACAUUACAGCAAUACACUACUGAAUAAUUAACAUCUUACUUACAAAUAUCAUUUUGGAAACAUAUGUCAAAAUCUAUAUACUGUACUGUACAGCAAUUUGUUUGAUGUCACUGCUGGUAUAAUGAGAUAAAGUCAAUAAAUCCUGGUGCGUGCCUCCAAUCACAGUAAGCAGCUAUUUUAACAAUUCAAACGCAAGAUGCAUGCUUUUUUUUAUGUUGAUAUUCACAAGCAUGAUUUUCUCAUAAAAGAUUAAACUCUGUAUUUGGAGCCUGCAGUUUUAUCCUGCAGAGUUCAUAUUUCAAAAACAUAUUUCUUUCUCUUUUCUACUCCAGUGCACUUGAAGGAGGAGAAAAGAUACAGAAUUUAUCUUCACUUGUAAUCUCUUACUUUCCCCAGGGAGAACUCCAGGGCCCAGUCAGCAGAAACACUAAAUGAAGGCCAACAGGCAUCUUCUGACUCCUUUAGACUUCAUGAGGCUAAGGGCUUAUAAAUCUGCUUUAGUCUACUGGGACAGAUAACAAAUCAAAUGCAAAUGUUUCCGACCAAUAACUGCAAGAAGCAGCUCUGAGGUGAACAGCCGUGAGGUGAAUAUCUGCUGAUUAGAGUCUACACCUGGUAAAUCACACACAACAGAAAAAUUAUUUUUAGACUCAGCUCACCACUACCACCCCUGCGCUGACUCAGGAGGGUUGAAGAUGAACACACGCUGUCCUCCAAAGUGGGUGCCAUCAGCCGCCUGCUUCUUCACACACUGCAGGCUCACCAUGUAGUCACCUCAGAGCUACAGCCGGAGGACAUCACAGCUCUGGGCAGCUUGC